AGUUGAUAACCUUUCUCUAUGUGUUUUGCGUUGAACAUGUUUUGAUUAGCUAGCUUUCUAGAAUUUGAUUGCAUGUUUGAUAGGAUUGAUCUAUGUGCUUUCUCUUAGAUUAGUUAGUGAAGGAAAGUAAAAUAUGGAAAAUCAUUGGCUUCAAAUGUUUUAGAUGAUCAACAUGUUUCUCAUGACUUAGAAGAACAAUUGUAGGGUUUGAAUCGAAUUUGAUGUUUGGAAUGGGUUUGAUCUUUGUUUCUUGCAUUUUCACCUUUGUAUAUGUGUUUUUGUAUUUUCUUAAUUUUAUUUCUUUUAAUUUUCGAAACCUAAAACCUAAAUCCCCCUUAAUUUCGUAAUUAGUAUAUAUUCUUGUAAAUAUUAUACUUUGUGUUGUGUGAAGAAGUUAGUUUCACUUUUUUUUUUUCCAAGUCGUUUUUGGCAUUUGUACACAUUUACUCCUUCCUAUCUCGGCUCACUCUUUCAGCCACAUAAAAUCCCCAUUUUCUCUCUCCACCUCUCGUUUGCUUCCCCGAAACCCAAAAUCCCUAGAAUCUCUCAAUUCGGAAAUUUUGUUCAGCUCCAGUCCCCGAAACUGUGAAAUCAGUUGGAAUAACACCAUUAGUGAAAUCAGAGGACUGAAAAGGAGCGUGAGAUUGGCCUGUGAAAUCAGUUCUCUGUAUUCGUGUCUAUCUCUUAGAAGCCAAUCUUUUCUUCUCUCAUCUCCCCUCUCUCUUCCGCUCCCUCACUUCUCCCCCACUCCCCACCACUGAUUCUCCCCACCCAUCAUCUCCACUGUCCAAUUCCGCCACCCUCAUGCCCUCCCCGCCGUCUAAUUUGAGGGGGACGAAUGUUGAAAAGGUUUUGUUGUGAGUUAUGGCUUAGGAGUGAGUGGAUUGAGUUUUGAGGGAGUGAGUGAAUUGCAAAUAAUGUUUAGUGGUGGUGGCUCUUGUGUCUCGAAUCACCUACGGCUGCGAGACCGCGACCUCCGCCGCCGCCACCAACCCCAACUUUGUUUUGGGUUCGUCUUUGGCUUUGGACUGGGUACUCGAAUCGCUGGGCUACAAGUACGACGCUCUCUCAAAUCCUUGUCUGCUCGUAGAAUCUCGUCCUUUCGCUCUAUCAUUCAUUCCAAGUCUCUUCCCGACAUUCCUACACUCUCCCACUAUUUCAGAUACACACACAUGCAAUGUAUGUAAAUAUUUUGUAUGUGGUCAAACCUCUGAUUCCUUUUCUUUUGCAAAGCCAACGAGAAGAUGAAUGCGAGCUUCCCUCCGACGUAUUGUCCUCAGUGGCAGGAGGAAUAGUUGCACUGGGAAAAUUUGAUGCCCUUCAUAUUGGUCAUCGAGAGCUUGCUAGUUGAGCCUCAAAGGUCGGACCUCCAUUUGUUUUUAUCAUUUGUUGGAAUGGCAGAAGUACUGGGUUGGGAACCUAGUAGAAAUAUAUUAAUAAUAAACUGCAUUGUAAGGAGGUGAAGAAGAUGUUAUUAAUAUGGGUUCCAAUAGGGGGAGAAAUUCUAGGUUCAGGCUUUAAGAUGGAGAAUGUCUUAGUGAUUUACUUCAAUUUUCAAAGAUUUGAGAACAAAUAGGUCAGCCAGAUAGUAUUGUGCAGGACAUUUGAAAUAUGGUUCGCUCCUACAUUGAGAAGCCCAACAGUAUAAUUUUAGCAAUUUCACCUGCUAAUCAAGAUCUUGUUACAUCUGUUGCAAUUAAAAUCUCUCGUGAAGUGGAUCCAACAGGUGAUACCCUACAUAGCAAGUGAGUACCAGAAAGAUAAAAUAUGGCCAAGACGGACCCGGCCUAACAAACGUGAUUAUCAAGUUGUUAUUGCUGUUGAUGUUCAGUAUGUCUAAGAGUUGCUGUGGGGAUGUUGCCAUUGAAGCUCUAGUGACAGUGUGUCGUGCAAUGUCAGAACUGGAAAAUACUAGCAACCUUACUGUUGCAAGCUUUGGAAAGAAAGGCAAAACAUAAGGUUGCUCCAUGACUUUGAUCAGCCCUUUACUGGAGACGCUGGAGUUAAGGUCAGGAUUGACUAGUGUCAAGACAACAAUAGUACAAUUGAUUUGUCUGCACAUAAUUGUACCUACAAGGCAGGAGCUGCCUCUAAUGAACCUUAAGCUCUUCCUUACAGUGGGCAUCAAUCCACCCCAGG